AGUGAACGCUGGCGGUAGGCCUAACACAUGCAAGUCGAACGGCAGCACAGGAGAGCUUGCUCUCUGGGUGGCGAGUGGCGGACGGGUGAGGAAUACAUCGGAAUCUACCUUUUCGUGGGGGAUAACGUAGGGAAACUUACGCUAAUACCGCAUACGACCUACGGGUGAAAGUGGGGGACCGCAAGGCCUCCCGCGAUUAGCAUACCCGAUGUCAGAUUAGCGAGUUGGCGGGGUAAGGGCCCACCAAGGCGACGAUCGGUAGCUGGUCUGAGAGGAUGAUCAGCCACACUGGAACUGAGACACGGUCCAGACUCCUACGGGAGGCAGCAGUGGGGAAUAUUGGACAAUGGGCGCAAGCCUGAUCCAGCCAUACCGCGUGGGUGAAGAAGGCCUUCGGGUUGUAAAGCCCUUUUGUUGGGAAAGAAAUCCUGUCGAUUAAUACUCGGUGGGGAUGACGGUACCCAAAGAAUAAGCACCGGCUAACUUCGUGCCAGCCGCCGCCGUAACAC
rnacentral:rRNA from 1 species